rnacentral:lncRNA from 1 species
UAAAAAUAAAAUAAAAUAAAAGAUCAAAGUUGUUAUAAAUAAAUAAGAUACUUAAAUCGUACCUUAUAAUAAUCAUAAUUAUCUCCGAACCCUACAUUAUCUCCGAACCCUACAUUAUCAUUCACCGUACCUUAUAAUAAUCAUAAUUAAUUAACUGAUCACAAAUCAGAAUAUUAACUAACUCGCUACUAGUUGUAAUUAUUUUAUUAUAUUAGUAAUGGAGUUGAACAGAAAGUGAUAAGAAUACUUGCUUUGAUCGAGAAGGGGAAGUGACGGAACCGUUGGAGGAAACAGUUGUGUCAGCGGAAGUUGCGGCGGAGAGGGUGAGUUUGUUGCGGCGGGGAGUGGAUGUUGUUGGGAAGAAGAGAGUGGUCGAAUUUGGUUGAAGUGAAAAUGGAGAAAGAGAGUGAGAAUGAGAGAAUUUGAAGGUAUGAAUUGGAGUUAGUGUGGCGGCCAUAGCUAGAAAUGCAAAGAAGCAAAUUGAAAUGAAAUAUCAGUGAGUUGGUGUGGAAGCUUUUAGUGUAUUUUUCAGUGGCUUGUUCUUGGCACCUAAAUUUUUUACCUCCUCUGUUGCUUUCUAAAUUUUAAUUUUUAAUAUUGAAACCAAAUGAGAUUCG